CGGGGCGUAGCGCAGGCGGCUAGCGCGCCUGCCUUGGGAGCAGGAGGUCGCUGGUUCAAGUCCAGUCGCCCCGACCA
rnacentral:tRNA from 1 species